UCCCUGGUGGUCCAGUGGAUAAGACUCUGUACUUCCGCUGCAGAGGGCUUGGGUUCAUUUCCUGUUUGGGGAA
rnacentral:tRNA from 1 species